rnacentral:rRNA from 1 species
UACACUCCUGCGGGAGGCAGCAGUGGGGAAUUUUGGACAAUGGGCGAAAGCCUGAUCCAGCAAUGCCGCGUGAGUGAAGAAGGCCUUCGGGUUGUAAAGCUCUUUUGUCAGGGAAGAAACGGUGAAAGCUAAUAUCUUUUGCUAAUGACGGUACCUGAAGAAUAAGCACCGGCUAACUACGUGCCAGCAGCCGCGGUAAUACGUAGGGUGCAAGCGUUAAUCGGAAUUACUGGGCGUAAAGCGUGCGCAGGCGGUUUUGUAAGUCUGAUGUGAAAUCCCCGGGCUCAACCUGGGAAUUGCAUUGGAGACUGCAAGGCUAGAAUCUGGCAGAGGGGGGUAGAAUUCCACGUGUAGCAGUGAAAUGCGUAGAUAUGUGGAGGAACACCGAUGGCGAAGGCAGCCCCCUGGGUCAAGAUUGACGCUCAUGCACGAAAGCGUGGGGAGCAAACAGAAUUAGAAACCCUUGUAGUCCC